rnacentral:rRNA from 1 species
UUUGAUAAAAAUUCUUUACACCAUGGUAGAAAUAAACAGUAUACUCUUGUUCAUAAGGAUAGCCAUAUUACUUUGCUUCCUAUGACUCCUGAAUCCAUUUUGAACGAUGAUAUUAAUAGAGCUAAUAAAGCAAAACAGGAGAAAAAUAAGAGUGAAAAUCAGAUUGUGGCAAAAGAAUUUGAGCAACAAAUGAAACCUAAUAAUAAACCAUCUAGUGUUGCUUCUAAAAUUAAAUUGAAAAGUGCAUGUUUACUUGCCACAAAAUCUGAUAUUGAUGAGAUAGAUUUUAGCAAAUCUGUUUGCUAUGCUUUUGUGUGCAAAGAGGCAUUAUUUUCAUUCGAGAACAUGCCUUCCUCUUUGCCCCCUGUUGUCACUAAUAUUUUGCAGGAGUUCGCUGACGUCUUCCCACAA